rnacentral:ncRNA from 2 species
GAUUAUCUUCAGGGCGGGGUGUAAGUCCCCACCGGCGGUUAUAGCCCGCGAGCGAAAUUUUUCGUAGGAUUCGGUGAAAUUCCGAGGCCGACAGUAUAGUCUGGAUGGAAGAAGGUAAUA